rnacentral:tRNA from 3 species
GCGGGGGUAGCCAAGCCAGGUCCAAGGCGCCCGCUUGAGGGGCGGGUGAGCGUAGGCUCGCGUGGGUUCAAAUCCCACCCCCCGCA